rnacentral:rRNA from 1 species
GAUCAUGGCUCAGGACGAACGCUGGCGGCGCGCCUAACACAUGCAAGUCGAACGAGCGAGAGAGAGCUUGCUUUCUCAAGCGAGUGGCGAACGGGUGAGUAACGCGUGAGGAACCUGCCUCAAAGAGGGGGGACAACAGUUGGAAACGACUGCUAAUACCGCAUAAGCCCACGGCUCGGCAUCGAGCAGAGGGAAAAGGAGCAAUCCGCUUUGAGAUGGCCUCGCGUCCGAUUAG